CCUACGGGAUGCAGCAGUAGGGAAUAUUGCUCAAUGGGGGAAACCCUGAAGCAGCAACGCCGCGUGGAGGAUGAAGGUUUUCGGGUUGUAAACUCCUUUUGUUAGAGACGAUAAUGACGGUAUCUAACGAAUAAGCACCGGCUAACUCCGUGCCAGCAGCCGCGGUAAUACGGAGGGUGCAAGCGUUACUCUGAAUCACUGGGCGUAAAGAGCGCGUAGGCGGGAUAGCAAGUCAGAUGUGAAAUCCUCGGGCUUAACCAUAGAACUGCAUUUGAAACUGUUAUUCUAGAGGAUGGGAGAGGCAGGUGGAAUUCUUGGUGUAGGGGUAAAAUCCGUAGAGAUCAAGAGGAAUACUCAUUGCGAAGGCGACCUGCUAGAACAUAACUGACGCUGAUGCGCGAAAGCGUGGGGAGCAAACAGGAUUAGAUACCCGGGUAGUC
rnacentral:rRNA from 1 species